rnacentral:rRNA from 1 species
GGAACGUCUCAGUUCGGAUUGUAGUCUGCAACUCGACUACAUGAAGCUGGAAUCGCUAGUAAUCGCGAAUCAGAAUGUCGCGGUGAAUACGUUCCCGGGUCUUGUACACACCGCCCGUCACACCAUGGGAGCCGGGAAUGCCCGAAGUCGGUGACCUAACUGAGAAGAAGGAGCCGCCGAAGGCAGGUCUGGUAACUGGGGUGAAGUCGUAACAAGGUAAC